CGGAGGGGCUAGCGUUGUUCGGAAUUACUGGGCGUAAAGCGCGCGUAGGCGGCUUUGUAAGUUAGAGGUGAAGGCCCGGAGCUCAACUCCGGAAUUGCCUUUAAGACUGCAUCGCUAGAAUCAUGGAGAGGUUAGUGGAAUUCCGAGUGUAGAGGUGAAAUUCGUAGAUAUUCGGAAGAACACCAGUGGCGAAGGCGACUAACUGGACAUGUAUUGACGCUGAGGUGCGAAAGCGUGGGGAGCAAACAGGAUU
rnacentral:rRNA from 1 species